UCGGGAAUUUUGGGCAAUGGGCGAAAGCCUGACCCAGCAACGCCGCGUGAAGGAUGAAGUAUUUCGGUAUGUAAACUUCGAAAGAAUGGGAAGAAUCAAUGACGGUACCAUUUAUAAGGUCCGGCUAACUACGUGCCAGCAGCCGCGGUAAUACGUAGGGACCAAGCGUUGUUCGGAUUUACUGGGCGUAAAGGGCGCGUAGGCGGCUUUGUAAGUCACUUGUGAAAUCUCCGGGCUUAACUCGGAACGGCCAAGUGAUACUGCAAAGCUAGAGUGCAGAAGGGGCAAUCGGAAUUCUUGGUGUAGCGGUGAAAUGCGUAGAUAUCAAGAGGAACACCUGAGGUGAAGACGGGUUGCUGGGCUGACACUGACGCUGAGGCGCGAAAGCCAGGGGAGCAAACGGGAUUAGAUACCCUGGUAGUCCCUGAGCGGGCUGGCAAGGCGCAU
rnacentral:rRNA from 1 species